GGAGACGUGGCCGAGCGGUUUAAGGCAGCAGUCUUGAAAACUGCCGACGGUUUGCGCCGUCCGUGAGUUCGAAUCUCACCGUCUCCGCCA
rnacentral:tRNA from 1 species